AAUGAACGUUGGCGGCGUGGAUUAGGCAUGCAAGUCGCACGAGAAGUUCAAGUUUGAAACUUCGGUCGAUUACUUGGACGGAAAGUGGCGAAAGGGAGAGUAACGCGUGGAUAUCUACCCCAAGACCCGGGAUAGCUGCGGGAAACUGCAGGUAAUACCGGAUAAUGUCUCCGGACCAAAGGUGUGAUUCCGUCUUGGGAUGAGUCCGCGUCCUAUUAGGUUGUUGGUGGGGUAAUGGCCUACCAAGCCGAUGAUGGGUAGCGGGUGUGAGAGCAUGGCCCGUCUCACUGGGACUGAGACACUGCCCAGACACCUACGGGGCUGCAGUCGAGAAUCUUCCGCAAUGGACGAAAGUCUGACGGAGCGACGCCGCGUGCGGGACGAAGGCCUUCGGGUUGUAAACCGCUGUC
rnacentral:rRNA from 1 species